rfam:Clostridium tetani E88, complete genome.
CCACGAUAAAGGCAAAACUAUUGAAAGAUAGUGACGCAAAGCUAUAGGGUCUGUAAAAUGACAGCCAGUUAUCGAA